CUAAAAUCACAACUGAACAAGAUACAGAUGCAGAACACAAGAAACCAGGAAUGUUGCAAACACAAGGAUCUUAAACAAAAGUCAGAUAACUUUCUACAAGCGCCAGCUAAUAUACAAGCCUCUAAAUCACCGUGCAAGACUAGGAUCCAGUGGGCUGAGUUCUUCUUCUCCUUUUCUUCUUGUAAGUAUUAUUGGUGGUUGGCAAGUGGGCUGAGUUGACAAGUAGCUGGGGAGUUACCAAUGGUGGAAAUGGGGGGAAAUGAACCUAAACCAGACACCAAAAAGAUGUCUGAUGAAAUGAAUAGUAAAGACAUUUACUAGACUAUAACUGAACAUGGCCCGGAGCAGGGUUUGUUUAGGAGCAGGAGUCUGCCACAAGGAAACUGAAAAUAAUCUUUUUAUACUUCACAUAAAUGUAUUCAAACGCUAGAAGGCAACUGUAAGGCUGAGGUGGAUUUAGAUGAUUGUGACAAGUUUCACAUGCUGAAAUCCACACCUGUGAUAAUGGCCCAGAAAUGCAAGCUGAGGAACAGAACCUCCUUGCUAGGUUGAAAGGGGAGUUGAGACAGCAGGCCAGAUAACACUUCGUAAUAUUGUUUUAACUAUCAAAUGUCUUGCAAGUCUUACAGUUACAUUUUUCCCCCUUUCCAUAAGAUGAAUUUAAAUUGUCACUCAUGACUAGACGGAACAUCUGGCUACAGCUUAAACAUUUUAUUAAAAAAAAAAAAACAACCCCAAACCCUCUUAGUCUGAAUAUGAACUGAAAAUUGUUGUCUGUCAGUUGCUUAUAUAAGUAUUAUUUAUUGUAAAAUGAUCCAUAUUCUGACAACAAUAUAGUACAAAUGGAAAUCUAAACCCCGCAAGAUUAAGGACUCAGAUAUUACCAUUAUUUUUCAUAUUUCUUUCCAUCUGCACUCUUUGCAUUUUGCUGCUGUCUAGCAGGAGAGAUUCCAGGUGUGAGGAGCUGCUAAGACAAUGGAAUGAGGGGUGCAACAUGAGUGUUUUCAAGAACUGCUGAAAAUGCAUAAGACCUGGAAACAACAGUGAGACAGUUUAUAAAAACCAUCACCUUCCAUGGUCUGGUAGGAAACUGACCUGGCAAAGACAGAUCCAGACCGAUUGUUUAAAAAUUUGGCCACAAAAACCUGGUAAAAAAAAAAAAAAGAAAAAAAAGAAAAAGAAGCUGAGAGAAACAGACUUUAAUGCCAGGUGAUAACUACCAGUUUCCCAAUGAAACCUUAGAGAUGCUAGAUCCUGUUCCUGAUCUGCAAAACUGUCCCACAAGGAGCCUCCUGAGCUGUAACCCCGAUCAGUAAGCUUUACAUCAACACAAUAUGGCUGUCCGAAGUCAGGUGAUCUGUAUCCACACUAGUACCUUUUUUCCUGAUUUUCUCAUGGAUGAAUUAGUCCCGUUUAAAUAGUAUAGUUUGUUGUUUUUUUUCCUCUUCUUGUUUUAUUUUAGGUCACUCUGGAAUGGUUCCUAGGUUUCAUUUCACUUGUCAUCUCUUUUCGCCUUUCAGCACUCAGCGUU
ensembl:lncRNA